ACUCCGGUGGUCCAGUGGUAACACACCUGCCUGCAGUGUGGGUGACCUAGGUUCAAAUCCUCAUCAGCGCU